GUGAACGUGUCACGGACGGAAGGUUGUAUAUAAUUACACGACUGAUGCAGUCAGCUGGGCAGUUAUAUUCCAUAACAUUACGCAAGCGCUCCAGGACCCGGUGAGAUUAACUGAGUCAGAUUUACGUUCCCAAACAAGCCGCAGCAACGUAUAUAUAACACUGGUCAACCGAGACGGACAGUGGUAUAUAAAGCGCCCGUGAUGGUCACAGCUCACAGGCAAUCACAGCUGUCGUUUGCAAGGAGGACCAAGUCCCGGUAUAUGCGUACGGAGUCCAGUGGUUAACUUCACUCUGCCCCGAAUACAGACUUAAAGGGGCUCAGCAGCCUUCUGUUUAAAGAGACAUGACGGCGUUCUUCACUGCUGGCGCAAGACAUGAAUAGAGCGAUGACGUUGCUAAUGGCGCCAAGGUCAUGCCAGUGGAGCAGGCGACUUCCACGUAACCUAUCACCUUGUAGCAAGCCUUAGGACACGCGAUCUGGUGCUGCCGCCCUCGAAGUCAACGCCGCCCUCGAAGUCAACGCCGCCCUCGAAGUCAACGCCGGCCUCACCAAUCGGCAAACCAGUUUAUGCUUGCAGAAUUGAGUCGUGUGUUGUCGUUAUGCUUUGUCCAGACAGAACACUAGUUGAGUUACCUCCUUGCUCAGAUGCGAGGUAAACCAGACUCUCUACACUUACAUUGGCUGAGACCCUUAUGGAACCUUAUUGUCUGGAGACACCAGUACACAUCAGUCAUGAAAUAACUGUCAGCUUGUUCUGUCAAUGUGAUGGUGAUGUGGAGUUGUGCACAGGACACAGAACUGUGAUAUUUCUAACAGUUUAAUGAAGACUCAAAGGAUUGGCUCACAGUUUAUCAGCGAGCGGAAGCCCCUGCUUGACCGAGUGACGUACAUAGAUCAGUCUGGGUUCCUGGCUACCUAUCUAUGGACGUGGACACUUCAUCCCGGCAACUAACUACGCUGGCCAGAUGUUAUCAGUUGAUGACGGACCGAGGAAUGUGGCUAUUGGUCAUCCCAAGGCAGCGGUCAGUAUGUCCUGUCUGGACGGUUGUUGGGUAAUAAUUAUCACCAGAUUGACAUACAUCGGAAAUAUCUCUUGCCAGUGUGGUUAGAAUACACCCAGUGUUCAAUUAAAGGUAUAUAUACUUAACUGAAAGUCCACAAGGCUAAACGAUUGAAGCUGUGCUGUAGGUUUCUUGUAUUGCGGACAGUACUAGCUGUCAUCUAGUUGAUAGUGUUCACGUGCAAGAAAACUAUGUUGUGACGUUAAAAAGGCACUGAGAGUUUGGCACCGACCAAUUGAUAUUCUAGGGAUGGGGGUGAUGGGCUUUUAUCGAAAAAAUAUUGUCCCAGAAAAUUCUUGAAAAAAAUGAGUUUAUCUUGCAUACUGAAAAAAGAAAAUAUCUACCACAAAAAUACAUUGUUGCAAGGUGUUUUCUGAGAAAAAUAUUCAGGCUCAUAGUUUUAAUUUACAAAUAUCUGGUUUUGCAACUGUAGCAGAAAAAAUAUGUAAUCUGGAGACUCAGUCCAAGUCUUCUAAACCUCCAACCCCAAUCCCCUGAAUAUCGGUCCCCCCAGUGUAGAUUUGUGUGGAAUAUGGGUUACCAAGCAACGUGACUCUGUAUGCGGGUGUAUGAUUUUAAUCAACUAUAGGAAAAAUAAUACGAGAAAGAAUAGUUGUACCAUGUUUAAUAUAUACUAUUUUAGGGAAUAUGUAAACAACCCCAUGUGUUGGAAUGAGAACGGAAAUCUGUGUACAGAAAUAUAACGGACAUGGUGUAUCAAUAGAAAUUAAAGUCUUGUGUAGUAGUGACGUAGCCGUCUUUUGGGUGACGGUAGGCGUCUUUUGGCUGACGUUGGCGUCUUUUGGCUGACGUUGGCGUCUUUUGGCUGACGUUGGCGUCUUUUGGGAUGUUUGCUAAUUGGUGGAAUCAGCAGGGCAGGCAAGACUGGCUAUGACCAUACACAGAAAGCUGCUGAGUUUUAAUGGGUGGAGGCAGUGAGAUGCACAACCAUAAUACAACAAUACGCGUACAACACGUACGUCAAUCAUCAUGAUCAUACAGAAUGUAUACACACGGAAACAUAAUGACAUUGUACGUUAAUACAACAAUACGCGUACAACACGUACGUCAAUCAUCAUGAUCAUACAGAAUGUAUAAACACGGAAACAUAAUGACAUUGAUAUACUGUAGAUAAACAGACAACUAUAUAAUACUAACGUAACAUUAACUUGUAACUAACUGUAGCUUUGUCUCUUUCUCGUCUUUAUUCAAUGGAGUGACGUAGCGUGUCUUUUGGGUGACAUAGACGUCCUUUGGGUGUUACUUCUUAAUCGGGGGAAUUAGCGGUAGUAGAGGUCACGACUGGCUAUCACCUUGAAGAACAGAGAAGGCUGUUGAGUUGAUGGCGUUUAUUCGUUGGAGGUAGAGUGAAGUACAUUUAAUUAUAAUGACAAGAUAAUAUGAUACGUGUGCAACACGUGUUAAGAGGAAGAGUCACAUUCAUAUAAUCGUAUACAUAUAAUUAUAAUAAUUCGAUACGUGAACAACACGUAUGAACGGUAUGAUCAUGAUAAUAUAAUCUGCAUACAACAGAUAAUGACAUGACUAUAUAGACGUACAAUAUAUUGUAUUUUAAGGUUUAACAGGUGGUUAUGAAAAGGCAUUUAUUACGAGAAAAUAUGUCUGGUAGAAAACAGUACAUGGGCUCCCGCUGUCACGCGUGGAUAUUUAACAACAUACUGUUAUAACAGACAAUAUAAUAUAAUGUUGGCCGACUCAGUUUUCAUUGCUACUAAGUUGCAGGCAAAUCAUUAUGAGUGUCACUGAAUGUAGGAACGUACUUGGUUAUUGACAUUGGUGCACAUACUCAUAUUGGGAUGUUGCCGUGCAACUAGUAUGCUAAUAUACAAAAAUAUACGUUCGCGAAAGGCAGUAUUGUCUGGAUAUUAAGUCAAUGAUAGUUUUCAUAACGCUACGAUAUAGUCGAAAUAGAUCUUACCUACACCUAACGUAUUACGAUCGUAGCUGACAGGAUGUUAACAUUUAAGUCAAUAGUGUCUUACCUUGAAGAACAGAAGGCUACUGAGUUGAUGGCGUUUAUUCGGUGGAAGCAGAGUGACAUACAUAAAAUCAUAAUAACAAUCCGAUACGCGUGCAACACGUGUACACAGGCAGUCAUAUACAUAUAAUCAUAACAAUCCGAUACGUGUACAACAUGUAUGGCCAUGAUAAUGAUGUCAUCAAUAUAUAUAUGUCUUACAUUUGUUUGCAUAACUAUCUGACCAGCACCAUGAGAAAUGUUGAACCCGUCGGAUAUGCGUUAUCGGGUUGACCCAUGGCAGUCUAAAUAUAAUGGAACGUGGUCGUUAGUAACAAUCCUUUAUUUCACAUUUUCCAAUUCUUAAUGUCAUUUAACGUGAUUAAAUGUUUGUCCAUUUCCCCAUCUUAAUAACAAACAUGUUUCAGAAUAUAAAGAUAGAGCCGACUCAUGUUUCAUUGUUACUAAGUUGCAGACAUUGUUCUGACUAUCUCUGAAUGUAGGAACCUGCUAGUUAUUGACAUUGGUACUCAUACUAAUAUUGGGAUAUUGCCGUGCGAAUAGUAAGCUAAUGUAUUAUGCAUAAAAUGAUCGCAAGAGGAAGUUUUGUUAACGAGAUAUUUACCCAUAACUUGCACCACGCUACGAUAUAGUCCAAACAUAAUCUAAACCUAACGUACUAUGAUCGUAGAUAGCAGAAUAAGUUAAUAUCUAAAGUCAAUAGAUUCUUAUCUUGAAAAACAAAAGGCUGCUGAGUUCUUGGCGUUUUCAUCGGUGGAAGCAGAGUGCAUUUGCUACCACCGACCGCCGUACCUGAUAUAAUUAACCUUAUGACCUAUAUAAUAACCUUGAACGGUUUGUUUGGUCUAGGCUGAUUAUAAUACCUAGAAUUUGUUGUCUGGGAAUAAGCUUGGGACAGCACUCCUUAAAACAACCUAGAGAAGCAUCUGUUAGUGGCCAGUCUUUAUUUGGUGGAUCUCAUCAGUGAGGAACCCGUUUUGGCUUGUGUGGGCGUGGUCCCGUUUUGCCUUGUGUGGGCGU
rnacentral:lncRNA from 1 species